rnacentral:rRNA from 1 species
AUUGAACGCUGGCGGAAGGCCUAACACAUGCAAGUCGAACGAGUGGCGGACGGGUGAGUAAUGUCUGGGAAACUGCCUGAUGGAGGGGGAUAACUACUGGAAAAGGUAGCUAAUACCGCAUACCAUCAGAUGUGCCCAGAUGGGAUUAGCUAGUGGGUGGGGUAACGGCUAACCAAGGCGACGAUCCCUAGCGGGUCCGAGAGGAUGACCAGCCACACUGGAACUGAGACACGGUCCAGACUCCUACGGGAGGCAGCAGUGGGGAAUAUUGCACAAGGGGCGCAAGCCGGAUGCAGCCAUGCCGCUUGUAUGAAGAGGGCCUUCGGUUUGUAAAGUACUUUCAGCGGGGAGGCGUUACCCGCAUAAGAAGCACCGGCUAACUCCGUGCCAGCCGCCGCGGUAAUUC